rnacentral:lncRNA from 1 species
AUUGGGUCGCCAUGUUCCCAAGCUGGAUCACGUUUACUAGCUCCACUAGACAUCUUAAACGUACCUACAUUUAAUUUGAUAAAACCUAAUAUUAAUGAAUAAUAAUCCAAUUUGAUAAAAAAAUAAUCACUGAUGAAUAAUAAUCCAAUUUGAUAAUAAUCCAAUUUAAUGAAUAAUCCAAUUUGAUAAUAAUCCAAUUUAAUGAAUAAUCCAAUUUGAUAAUAAUAAAAAAACCUAAUAUUAAUGAAUAAUAAUCCAAAUUGAUAAAAAAAUAAUCCUAAUAUAAAACAUAGUGAUGAAUAAUAAUCCAAUUUGAUAAUAAUAAAAAACCUAAUAUUAAUGAAUAAUAAUCCAAUUUGAUAAAAAAAAUAAUCCUAAUAUAAAACAUAGUGAUGAAUAAUAAUCUAAUUUAAUGAAUAAUCCAAUUUGAUAAUAAUCCAAUUUAAUGAAUAAUCCAAUUUGAGAAUAAUAAAAAACCUAAUAUUAAUGAAUAAUAAUCCAAAUUGAUAAAAAAAUAAUCCUAAUAUAAAACAUAGUGAUGAAUAAUAAUCCAAUUUAAUGAAUAAUCCAAUUUGAGAAUAACAAUAAUAUAAAUAUAAGUUAGGAAGGGCUUAAUAAAAAGUUGUACACAUGAUUUCUAAUCUAACCUCCGACCAGGCUAACUAAUAUAUUUCAUAUUAAAUUCACAAACAUGCAACUGAGAUCCCCAUGUUCUAUUUUACUUUUUAUUUUAUUUUUUUGGUCUUAACUUAAUAUUAAUGAAUAAUAAAAAACCUAAUAUUAAUGAAUAAUAAUCCAAAUUGAAAAAAAAUUAAUCCUAAUAUAAAAACAUAGUGAUGAAUAAUAAUCCAAUUUGAUAAUAAUCCAAUUUAAUAAUAAUCCAAUUUAAUGAAUAGUCCAAUUUGAUAAUAAGCCAAUUUAAUGAAUAAUCCAAUUUAAUGAUUAAUAAUCCAAUUUAACAAUAAUCCAAUUUAUUUGUUAUUGUAUAAAUUACAAUAAUAUAAAUAUAAGUUUGUAAACUUACCUUAAAUAUGGAACCCUUUGUGU